CUGCCAACCUGGCCGCCUCCGACGUCCUCUUCACUCUGGCCCUGCCUCUGCGGAUAGCCUACUACGCCCUAGGUCAGUGAUACUCCCACUACUACGCCCUAGGUCAGUGAUACUCCCACUACUACGCCCUAGGUCAGUGAUACUCCCACUACUACGCCCUAGGUCAGUGAUACUCCCACUACUACACCCUAGGUCAGUGAUACUCCCACUACUACGCCCUAGGUCAGUGAUACUCCACCAAUACAACGCCCUAGGUCAGUGAUACUCCCACUACUACGCCCUAGGUCAGUGAUACUCCCACUACUACGCCCUAGGUCAGUGAUACUCCACCAAUACAACGCCCUAGGUCAGUGAUACUCCCACUACUACGCCCUAGGUCAGUGAUACUCCCACUACUACACCCUAGGUCAGUGAUACUCCCACUACUACGCCCUAGGUCAGUGAUACUCCACCAAUACAACGCCCUAGGUCAGUGAUACUCCCACUACUACGCCCUAGGUCAGUGAUACUCCCACUACUACACCCUAGGUCAGUGAUACUCCCACUACUACGCCCUAGGUCAGUGAUACUCCACCACUACUACGCCCUAGGUCAGUGAUACUCCCACUACUACGCCCUAGGUCAGUGAUACUCCACCAAUACAACGCCCUAGGUCAGUGAUACUCCACCAAUACUACGCCCUAGGUCAGUGAUACUCCACCACUACUCCACCCUAGGUCAGUGAUACUCCCACUACUACACCCUAGGUCAGUGAUACUCCCACUACUAUGCCCUAGGUCAGUGAUACUCCACCACUACUACGCCCUAGGUCAGUGAUACUCCCACUACUACGCCCUAGGUCAGUGAUACUCCACCAAUACAACGCCCUAGGUCAGUGAUACUCCCACUACUACGCCCUAGAUCAGUGAUACUCCCACUACUACGCCCUAGGUCAGUGAUACUCCCACUACUACGCCCUAGGUCAGUGAUACUCCACCAUUACUACGCCCUAGGUCAGUGAUACUCCCACUACUACGUCCUAUAGGUCAGUGAUACUCCCACUACAUCACCCUAGGUCGGUGAUACUCCACUACGUCCUAUAGGUCAGUGAUACUCCACCACGACGCCCUAGGUCAGUGAUACUCCCACUACUACGCCCUAGGUCAGUGAUACUCCACCACUACUACGCCCUAUGUCAGUGAUACUCCACCACUACUACGCCCUAGGUCAGUGAUACUCCCACUACUACGCCCUAGGUCAGUGAUACUCCCACUACUACGCCCUAGGUCAGUGAUACUCCACUACGUCCUAUAGGUCGGUGAUACUCCACUACGUCCUAUAGGUCGGUGAUACUCCACUACGUCCUAUAGGUCGGUGAUACUCCCACUACUACGCCCUAGGUCAGUGAUACUCCCACUACUACGCCCUAGGUCAGUGAUACUCCACUACGUCCUAUAGGUCGGUGAUACUCCCACUACGACGCCCUAGGUCAGUGAUACUCCCACUACGACGCCCUAGGUCAGUGAUACUCCACUACGUCCUAUAGGUCGGUGAUACUCCACUACGUCCUAUAGGUCGGUGAUACUCCACUACGUCCUAUAGGUCGGUGAUACUCCCACUACGUCCUAUAGGUCGGUGAUACUCCACUACGUCCUAUAGGUCGGUGAUACUCCACUACGUCCUAUAGGUCGGUGAUACUCCACUACGUCCUAUAGGUCGGUGAUACUCCACUACGUCCUAUAGGUCGGUGAUACUCCACUACGUCCUAUAGGUCGGUGAUACUCCACUACGUCCUAUAGGUCGGUGAUACUCCACUACGUCCUAUAGGUCGGUGAUACUCCACUACGUCCUAUAGGUCGGUGAUACUCCCACUACGUCCUAUAGGUCGGUGAUACUCCACUACGUCCUAUAGGUCGGUGAUACUCCCACUACGUCCUAUAGGUCGGUGAUACUCCCACUACGUCCUAUAGGUCGGUGAUACUCCCACUACGUCCUAUAGGUCGGUGAUACUCCACUACGUCCUAUAGGUCGGUGAUACUCCACUACGUCCUAUAGGUCGGUGAUACUCCACUACGUCCUAUAGGUCGGUGAUACUCCACUACGUCCUAUAGGUCGGUGAUACUCCACUACGUCCUAUAGGUCGGUGAGUAUAGUUGUUUUGAAGUAGUUUAAAACAAACAACUAAAAGCAGAUGGUAGGAAUGUAGAAAUGAUACUGGGCCUUCAGAAAGGGUUCACGCCCCUCCACUUCUUCCACAUGUUGUUGUUAAAACACACACAAUAACCCAUAAUGACAAAGUGAAAACAUGUGUUGACAUUUUUGCAAAUGAACUCUUAGAAAUAUCAAAUUUGCAUUAGUAUUCAAACCCCUGAGUCAAUACUUUGUAGAAUCACCUUUGGCAGUGAUGACAGCUGUGAGUCUUUCUGGGUAAGUCUCUAAGAGCUUUGCACACCUGGAUUGUACAAUAUUUGCAUAUUAUUAUUUUUUAUAUAUAUAUAUAUUUUUUUAACUGUCAAAUUGACUGACCAUUGAUAGACAGCCAUUUUCAAGUCUUGCCAUAUAUUUUCAAGACUAUUUAAGUUCAGUUAAAACUAUGCCACUCAGGAACAAUCAAUGUAUUCUUGGUAAGCAACCCCAGUGUAUAUUUGGCCUUGUGUUUUAGGUUAUUGUCCUGCUGAAAGGUGAAUUUGUCUCCCAGUGUCUGUUGGAAAGUAGACUGAACCAGGUUUUAGGACUUUGCAUGUGCUUAUAGCUGUAUUCUGUUUCUUUUUAAAAUCCCUUGUCAUUGUCGCUGACAAGCACACUCAUAACAUGAUGCAGCAACCACCAUGCUUGAAAAUAUGAAGAGUGGUACUCCGUGAUGUGUUGGAUUUGCCCUAAACGUAACACUUUGUAUUCAGGAAAGAAAGUUAGAUUUUUUUUUUGCAGUAUUACUUAAGUGCCUUGUUGCAAACAGGAUGCAUGUUUUGUAAUACGGGCUUCCUUUUCACUCUGUAAUUUAAAUUAGUAUUGUGGAGUAACUACAAAUGUUGUUGAUCCAUCCUUAGUUCUCAUAUCACACCCAUUAUACUCUGUAACUAUUUUAAAGUCACCAUUGGCAUCAUGAUGAAAUCCCUGAGUGGUUUCCUUCUUCUCCGGCAACUGAGCUUGGAAAGAUGCCUGCAUCUUUGUAGUGACUGGGUGUAUUGAUUCACCAUGCUCAAAGGGAUAUUCAAUUUCAUUGAAAAAACCUUCCCUGGUCUUUGUGGUUGAAUCUGUGCUUGAAAUGUAUUACUCGAUUGAGGGAGUGGGGUACAGAGAUGGAGUAGUCGUUCAGAGAUGAUGUUAACCACUAUUAUUGAACAUGGAAUGAGUCCAUGCAACUUAUUAUGGGACUUGUUAAGCACAUUUUUACUCCAGUACUUAUUUCGGCUUGCCUUAAACAAAGGGGUUGAAUACUUAUUGACUCGAGACAUUUCAAGCUUUUUAAUUUUGUAAUUUCCAAAAAUGUCUAAACUAAAUUCCACAGUGACACAACAUGUCCUUAUUGAAUUAAGGCUGUAACACAAUAACAUGUGGAGAAAGUAAAGAGGUGAACAGCAUUUACACAGGUAUGAGUCUAAUACAGUAUGUAGUUUACACAGGUAUGAGUCUAAUACAGUAUGUAGUUUACACAGGUAUGAGUCUAAUACAGUAUGUAGUUUACACAGGUAUGAGUCUAAUACAGUAUGUAGUUUACACAGGUAUGAGUCUAAUACAGUAUGUAGUUUACACAGGUAUGAGUCUAAUACAGUAUGUAGUUUACACAGGUAUGAGUCUAAUACAGUAUGUAGUUUACACAGGUAUGAGUCUAAUACAGUAUGUAGUUUACACAGGUAUGAGUCUAAUACAGUAUGUAGUUUACACAGGUAUGAGUCUAAUACAGUAUGUAGUUUACACAGGUAUGAGUCUAAUACAGUAUGUAGUUUACACAGGUAUGAGUCUAAUACAGUAUGUAGUUUACACAGGUAUGAGUCUAAUACAGUAUGUAGUUUACACAGGUAUGAGUCUAAUACAGUAUGUAGUUUACACAGGUAUGAGUCUAAUACAGUAUGUAGUUUACACAGGUAUGUUAGUCUAAUACAGUAUGUAGUUUACACAGGUAUGAGUCUAAUACAGUAUGUAGUUUACACAGGUAUGACAGUCUAAUACAGUAUGUAGUUUACACAGGUAUGAGUCUAAUACAGUAUGUAGUUUACACAGGUAUGACAGUCUAAUACAGUAUGUAGUUUACACAGGUAUGACAGUCUAAUACAGUAUGUAGUUUACACAGGUAUGAUAGUCUAAUACAGUAUGUAGUUUACACAGGUAUGUUAGUCUAAUACAGUAUGUAGUUUACACAGGUAUGAGUCUAAUACAGUAUGUAGUUUACACAGGUAUGAGUAUAAUACAGUAUGUAGUUUACACAUGUAUGAUAGUCUAAUACAGUAGUGUAGUUUACACAGGUAUGAGUCUAAUACAGUAGUGUAGUUUACACAGGUAUGAUAGUCUAAUACAGUAUGUAGUUUACACAGGUAUGAGUCUAAUACAGUAUGUAGUUUACACAGGUAUGAGUCUAAUACAGUAUGUAGUUUACACAGGUAUGAGUCUAAUACAGCAUGUAGUUUACACAGGUAUGAUAGUCUAAUACAGUAUGUAGUUUACACAGGUAUGAGUCUAAUACAGUAGUGUAGUUUACACAGGUAUGAUAGUCUAAUACAGUAUGUAGUUUACACAGGUAUGAUAGUCUAAUACAGUAGUGUAGUUUACACAGGUAUGAUAGUAUAAUACAGUAGUGUAGUUUACACAGGUAUGAUAGUCUAAUACAGUAUGUAGUUUACACAGGUAUGAUAGUCUAAUACAGUAUGUAGUUUACACAGGUAUGAUAGUCUAAUACAGUAGUGUAGUUUACACAGGUAUGAUAGUCUAAUACAGUAUGUAGUUUACACAGGUAUGACAGUCUAAUACAGUAUGUAGUUUACACAGGUAUGAGUCUAAUACAGUAGUGUAGUUUACACAGGUAUGACAGUAAUACAGUAGUGUAGUUUACACAGGUAUGACAGUCUAAUACAGUAUGUAGUUUACACAGGUAUGACAGUCUAAUACAGUAUGUAGUUUACACAGGUAUGACAGUCUAAUACAGCAUGUAGUUUACACAGGUAUGACAGUCUAAUACAGUAUGUAGUUUACACAGGUAUGACAUUCUAAUACAGUAGUGUAGUUUACACAGGUAUGACAUUCUAAUACAGUAGUGUAGUUUACACAGGUAUGAUAGUCUAAUACAGUCUGUAGUUUACACAGGUAUGAGUCUAAUACAGUCUGUAGUUUACACAGGUAUGAGUCUAAUACAGUCUGUAGUUUACACAGGUAUGCGUCUAAUACAGUAUGUAGUUUACACAGGUAUGACAGUCUAA